UUCCAUUCUUCAGUUAUAUAAUUCACGAUAAAUUUUUAGAAGCGCCACGAAAAUGAAAAGUUUUUCACCAUUAAACAUAUUAUUUUUAUUGUGUGUACAAUUGUGCUACUUUGAAAGAUUAUAUGCUGUAAAGAUUUUAGCAAUAUUCCCCUUUCAGGGGCGUUCACAAUAUAUUUGCGUGGAAAAUUAUCUAAAAGCAUUGGCUGCAAGGGGUCAUGAAAUGACUGUGAUCUCAGAAUUUCCACAGAAAAAACCGGUGCCGAAUUUCCGUGAUGUUACAAUUAUAAACAAAGAAAGAUUUUUUGAGGACUUCAAAUUGGAUGACUUUAUGACCACAAUCAGCAAAUGGGAAGAGCUAAACUGGGGCAUAGAAUUCUUAACCGUACCCACGCGCAGGGUGUUAGAACACCCGGAAGUGCAGAAAUGGCUGGCAAAUGGCGUCACAUUUGAUUUACUCAUUGUAGAAGUGCUGCAACAGGAGGCGCUGUACGCACUGUCAUAUCAUUUUAAUGCAUCGCUCAUCGGUGUAUCGAGCUUUGGUACUGAUAUGCGCAUCGACGAACUGGUGGGCAAUACCUCACCACUCUCUUAUGUGCCGUCAGUUUUAAGCACCAACAGUGAUCAUAUGAGCUUUUACCAACGUCUGGAGAGUUUAUAUAAAAAUAUUGUCGAGUGGGUGCAUAACCAUUUUAUUAUGAUACCUUUACAAUAUGAAAUAUAUAAAACUUAUGUGAGCAAACCCACAGCUGAUUUUAUGGCAAUAAGAAAGAACUUCUCGCUGCUGCUGCUGAAUCAACACUUCUCGAUGAGCAUACCACGUCCAUACGUGACCAACGCCAUCGAAGUGGGUGGCUGGCAUAUAGACCACAAACCGAAAGCUUUAUCUGCCGAUAUGGAAGCUUUUAUUAACGCUAACCCAAAUGGUGCUAUCUUUUUUUCUUUGGGUUCCAAUUUUUUUAGCAAAAAUUUGUCUAAAGAAAAACUUGCUAUUAUUUUGAAUGUUUUUGCCUCAUUACCCUAUAAUAUAUUUUGGAAGUUCGAACUACCGGAAUUACUGGGAAAACCACAAAACGUCUACAUUGAUAAAUGGUUUCCACAAGCCGAUAUAUUGGCACAUCCCAAUGUAAAACUCUUCAUUACACAUGGUGGGCUAUUGAGCACGAUCGAGGCAAUUCAUUACGCAAAACCGUUAGUGGGUAUACCGAUAUUCUACGACCAACAUCUAAACGUGGCGCGUGCGCAAGCGAAAGGGUUCGGCUUAGGUGUGAACUUGAAGAAUUUAAAUGCCGGUGAAUUAAAUGAUACCAUACUGGAGGUUCUGAAUAAUCCCAAGUACGCCCAGCGCGCUCGCGAUCUCUCUCACCGCUAUCACGAUCAGCCGUUGAAGCCGUUAGAGAAGGCAAUCUAUUGGACGGAAUAUGUGCUGCGUCAUAAGGGCGCGCCGCAUAUGCGCGUGGCUGCACAAGAUUUGAAUUUCAUUGAAUAUCAUAACUUAGAUGCGAUUGCUGUGCUGUUCGGCCUACCGUUACUGGCAUUGAAUCUGACUUCCUGGCUAAGAUAUUCUUAUAUAUAAUGCACAGUUGGUUGACUUCGUUUAGUCAUCGUAAUGCGGUCGGAUUUAUUGCAACGUAACGUGAGUUGCUACUUUCGGCUUAUAUCAGCUUAAACGCCCUACAGCAGACAAAUGCUGCCAACAUUUUAGCGAUAUUUCCCUUUCCAGGA
rnacentral:misc_RNA from 1 species